GAUGAACGCUAGCUACAGGCUUAACACAUGCAAGUCGAGGGGCAGCACAGUGUAGCAAUACAUGGGUGGCGACCGGCGCACGGGUGCGUAACGCGUAUCCAACCUUCCCGUUACUCUUGGAUAGCCUUCCGAAAGGGAGAUUAAUACAAGAUGGUAUUCAAAUUCCGCAUGUUAUUUGAAUUAAAGAUUUAUCGGUAACGGAUGGGGAUGCGUGACAUUAGAUAGUAGGCGGGGUAACGGCCCACCUAGUCUACGAUGUCUAGGGGUUCUGAGAGGAAGGUCCCCCACACUGGAACUGAGACACGGUCCAGACUCCUACGGGAGGCAGCAGUGAGGAAUAUUGGUCAAUGGGCGCAAGCCUGAACCAGCCAAGUAGCGUGAAGGAAGACUGCCCUAUGGGUUGUAAACUUCUUUUUACGGGAACAACCACAUCUACGUGUAGAUGUCUGCGUGUACCGUACGAAUAAGCAUCGGCUAACUCCGUG
rnacentral:rRNA from 1 species